rnacentral:rRNA from 1 species
AAUCAACGCUGGCGGCGUGCCUCAGACAUGCAAGUCGAACGAUUAAAGCUCUCUUCGGAGAGUGUAUAGAGUGGCGCACGGGUGAGUAACACGUAAGUAAUCUACCCUCGAGUGGGGAAUAACAACCGGAAACGGUUGCUAAUACCGCAUAAUGCAGCGGCACCGCAAGGUGACAGUUGUUAAAGAUUUAUCGCUUGAGGAGGAGCUUGCGGCAGAUUAGCUAGUUGGUAGGGUAACGGGCUUACCAAGGCUACGAUCUGUAACCGGUCUAAGAGGACGGUCGGUCACACUGACACUGAAUAACGGGUCAGACUCCUACGGGAGGCAGCAGUCGGGAAUUUUGGGCAAUGGGCGAAAGCCUGACCCAGCAACGCCGCGUGAAGGAUGAAGUAUUUCGGUAUGUAAACUUCGAAAGAAUAGGAAGAAUUAAUGACGGUACUAUUUAUAAGGUCCGGCUAACUACGUG